UGAGGGGGAGAAUCUGAAUUUUUAAGAAAGCUAAAUCAUUAAAUAUAUAUAAGCCAAACAAUUGAUUGCAUGAUAUGAAGGCUUAUAUAAUUCCAAAUGAAAGGGGGAGCUUUAAUUCCAAAAUUUAUUGUUUCACACCUUUCAAACUUGGAUAAAUUAAAUAACCAGACAUUUGAAUUCAUUUAUAGAUUUUAUUUCCUUGGUUAUUGAGCAAUUCACUUUACAUAUACUCAAUGUUUUGUCAUCAUCAAAAAGGGGGAGAUUGUGGAGUGAUUGAUCAUAACCCUAUUUGAUUUUGAUGAGCUCAAAGCAUUU
rnacentral:lncRNA from 1 species